GAUCGUGAAUUUUAUAGUUAAAGAGGAGCCCAGUAAAAAUAAGCUAUAAAUAUCAUGGAAUGCAUCACAUUACUUGAGAUGUGAUUCUCAUGCAUCUUGAUCUAAUGAGUUAUAAUCCGCCUUUCUGAAUCAAAUGUAGCUUAAUGAAAGAAAUUGAAAACAGAACAAUUUGAACACACUGCACAUUAUAAAACCGUAAUUUCCAGCAGAGGCACCCACCAAAAGAUGGAACCUUAACUAUUACGCGAAAGUCGGCCUAAAAAUCCAGGUCUUUAAAUAUAUAUAUAUAUAUAUGAAGCCACAACGUAACGCCUAUGGGCGAAUCUCUGGGAC
rnacentral:lncRNA from 1 species